GGCUGAUUGUCCAGGCAAAUCCGGAUAAUCAAGGCUGAGGUGUGAUGACGAGGCACUACGGUGCUGAAGUAACAAAUGCCCUGCUUCCAGGAAAAGCCUCUAAGCAUCAGGUAACAUUAAAUCGUACCCCAAACCGACACAGGUGGUCAGGUAGAGAAUACCAAGGCGCUUGAGAGAACUCGGGUGAAGUAACUAGGCAAAAUGGUGCCGUAACUUCGGGAGAAGGCACGCUGGUGUGUAGGUGA
rnacentral:rRNA from 1 species